rnacentral:rRNA from 1 species
GAUGAACGCUGGCGGCGUGCCUAAUACAUGCAAGUCGAGCGAACGGACGAGAAGCUUGCUUCUCUGAUGUUAGCGGCGGACGGGUGAGUAACACGUGGAUAACCUACCUAUAAGACUGGGAUAACUUCGGGAAACCGGAGCUAAUACCGGAUAAUAUUUUGAACCGCAUGGUUCAAAAGUGAAAGACGGUCUUGCUGUCACUUAUAGAUGGAUCCGCGCUGCAUUAGCUAGUUGGUAAGGUAACGGCUUACCAAGGCAACGAUGCAUAGCCGACCUGAGAAGGGGAUCGGCCACACUGGACCGAGGACACGGUCCAGACUCCUACGGGAGGCAGCAGUAGGGAAUCUUCCGCAAUGGGCGAAAGCCUGACGGGGCAACGCCGCGUGAGUGAGGAAGGUUUUCGGUUCGUAAAACUCUUUUAUUAGGAAAAAAAAUAUGUGUAAGAAACUGUCCACAUCUUGACGGUACCAAAUCAAAAAGCCACGGCUAACUACGU